rnacentral:lncRNA from 1 species
ACCCCAGGGGCCUCACAGCAUUGUUUAACCCUGAGCUCGGCUGGGUUUCACCCAGGUGCCUAGACCAGCCUCCUGUCCAGUCUUGCUUUCCUGGAGGGUGGGGCCAACCCUUUUGAGAAGCCACAAGCCUAUUUGUACCCACAGGGUCCCAGGACCCAUCUGGGCACCCAGAAUGACUCAGACCAGACCCUGGGGGUUCCCAAUCUGGGGAAGAGUCCCUGUUGCAGACCUGAACACUCAAAUUUGUGUAUGGGGAGGGAAAGGGGCAUGAAGGUGCAGGGGAGGUGGGUGGUGACCACAGGCCCUCUGCUGUAGGGCUGUUCAGGGACUGUGCUGGCUGAUGGAGCCUGACUCCCCUCCCCCAGCGUGGCCUGCCACGACCAUGGCCUCACCCAGGACCCCCAGCUCAUGGCCUACAGGCCAGGUCAGCAGGAGAUGCUGGCACUGGCCCUGUGGGAGGGGGACACUCUGCCCAUCCCCCCAUCCUGGGGAGGGGCGCAGGGUCCCUGCUGUGCGGGUCCGGGGACCAGGGCCCCCACUCCUCUCCUCUGAAGCCCCAGGCGCGGCGGCACUGCCCGGCUGACAAUCGGUGAUCG